rnacentral:rRNA from 1 species
AUUGAACGCUGGCGGCAGGCCUAACACAUGCAAGUCGAACGGUAACAGGAAGAAGCUUGCUUCUUUGCUGACGAGUGGCGGACGGGUGAGUAAUGUCUGGGAAACUGCCUGAUGGAGGGGGAUAACUACUGGAAACGGUAGCUAAUACCGCAUAACGUCGCAAGACCAAAGAGGGGGACCUUCGGGCCUCUUGCCAUCGGAUGUGCCCAGAUGGGAUUAGCUAGUAGGUGGGGUAACGGCUCACCUAGGCGACGAUCCCUAGCUGGUCUGAGAGGAUGACCAGCCAAACUGGAACUGAGACACGGUCCAGACUCCUACGGGAGGCAGCAGUGGGGAAUAUUGCACAAUGGGCGCAAGCCUGAUGCAGCCAUGCCGCGUGUAUGAAGAAGGCCUUCGGGUUGUAAAGUACUUUCAGCGGGGAGGAAGGGAGUAAAGUUAAUACCUUUGCUCAUUGACGUUACCCGCAGAAGAAGCACCGGCGAACUCCGU